UGCUUCCCGUCCCUUGGUCCGGGCGGGCGGUUUUCCCGCCGCCCUCUCGACACUUUGCACCGAGGCGUCGGAUCUGCUGGCUCAGAGGGCAGGGGUUUCCUACGUCCCCCUUCCCCACCAGCGCCUAGAGACGAGGCGGAACUCAAAGGGCUGCUCCCUCACCCCCUUCCUGGCCAAGACGUUUCAUCCGCAAUUGGCUCAAUCCUUCGAUCUCCGACCCGCUGCAAACGAACGAAAGUCUGUGGCCUGGAUCGGCCCACCACUGCUCCCGAGGGAGGGGGGAGGAAAGAGAAGUCACCUCUUGUUUUAGGGGGUCUGUGUCUACGGUCCCUGAUGCGGAGCUCGGGAGAACAACUUCGAGUUAGUGUUUACGGAACUUCUCACAGCCUAGAUUCUUUUUUUGAAGGGAGAGAUUCAAAAUCUAUAGGCUGUUCCCUGCUCGCCUCCCCCAUCGGGCACAUGGACGGGUCCCACCUGCAGGUGCGCAUGCGCUGAGGCGUAUUCUCGCGCUGGGUUACGGAGACGACAGGCCGCCUCCUGGCCCCUCCUCCCCUCGGUUCUGUCUGCUGAACCAGGUAGUCUUUCCACCGGUUUCUGAAGCUUCGGGGAGGAUUUCAAAACGGUACCAAAUCAGUGCCUACGGACACGCCUCCGUUCUGGGCAGAUAUUUUAUCUAAUAAAUACUUAUUACAAUGAUUGGUUAUAUUCAACCGGUUGGUGCCACUAUUGGCUUAAGUAAGCCUGUAUUUUAAAUUACAUAUUUAGACUUAAGUAAAAAUACCUUGUGAUGCAUGAUACAUUCUAGUAAUCCAACAUCGGAAGGGCAACAACGGAAGUACUGCCUGCUCGCCUCAAUCUUUAGAUCAUCCUGGUCGACAUAGCAAGUUCCGAGCCAAUCAAGGCUAUUUACUAAAAACCUGUUUGAAAAAAAAUUUUUUUAAUUGUAUGGAUCGGACAGAGUAUGGGGGCAUGCCUUUUAUUCCAGCACUAGGGUGUCAGAGGCAGGUCGAUUGCAGUGUGUUAGAGCUACACACUGGUUUGGUCUACACGAGGAGUUCCAGGACAGCCUGGGCUUCGUUAUAGACCCUCUUUCCAAAAAUAAAUAAAUAAAAAUUACAUGGUUCUGAAUUGUCAUAAUUCAUAGUCUUAAGUGUUCGUUUUAGCUGUUGAAAGCUGAGGCUCUAGGAAACUGACAAGACCUAUAAGUCACUGUGAGCAACUGCAUGAGUUUGUGAGACUUAGGUAAAAGGCAAUUUUUUAAUAUAGGGAAAGGUAACUAAAUUUGCCCGUAUCAUUAAAAACUCUUUAAUUUUUCAUUUUUAGAUUAAAAAAAAUGUGUGUAUGAGUGUGUGUAUGUCUGUGCCCCACAUGUCUGUACUGGUACACAAAGUCAGAGGAUGUUGGAUCCCUGGGACUGGAGUCACUAACGUUUGCGAGCCAGCCUGUAGCCAGUCUGUAGCCAGCCUGUAGCCAGCCUGUAGCCAGCCUUAACCACUGAGCCAGCUCACUUGUCCCCUCAGGUACAAUCUUGACAGACAAAUAAUAAAUUUGUGAGCCUUGUGGAUUUGGUGGGUGUAUUGUUAAGCCAUGGGAAUGUCUGAAUGAAGAACUUCCUCUCCUCAAUUAUAGGACAGAAUUGUUUCUAUAUUGUCAUUUGUCAUUUGUGAAAUGAAGAGGUAGAAAUUAUAGGACAGAAUUGUUUCUAUAUUGUCAUUUGUCAUUUGUGAAAUGAAGAGGUAGAAACAGACAAGACAUUUGCUGGGCACCCACUUAAUAAUAAAAAGUAUUUUCCUUUCGCCCUCCAGUGUCUUAGUCUUUCAGAGGAAGUUUAUGUAAGCUAAAUGAGACAAUUUAGGUGAAAAAGUUUAAAUGUUUAUCUUUUCUGGAAAAGUUGCUGGGAGAUAAAACUUUGAAAUUUGAAACAAAGGUUUACUUUGCUUUACAAUUAUUAAUUUUAUGAUUAAGAUUUUAAAUCAACUUUUUAUUGAUUCUUUGUGAAUUUUACACCAUGCACUCCAGUCCCAUUCAUCUUUGUAUCUGCCCUCCACCCUUGCAACCUCCUCCCC
rnacentral:lncRNA from 1 species